CACGUAGGGCGCAAGCGUUGUCCGGAAUUAUUGGGCGUAAAGAGCUCGUAGGCGGUCUGUUGCGUCUGCUGUGAAAACUCGGGGCUUAACCCCGAGCCUGCAGUGGAUACGGGCAGACUAGAGGUAGGUAGGGGAGAAUGGAAUUCCCGGUGUAGCGGUGAAAUGCGCAGAUAUCGGGAGGAACACCGGUGGCGAAGGCGGUUCUCUGGGCCUUUCCUGACGCUGAGGAGCGAAAGCGUGGGGAGCGAACAGG
rnacentral:rRNA from 1 species